GCCCCCAUACCAAACCGCCGUUUAUCAUGAUGGCAAGCUAUCCAUGGCGGGUGCUGGAGGAAAUGCGCUCAGUGUUGUCGCCAGCAGCUUAAACUUCACAUGCACGUUCAGACGUGCACGUGACUACGGUGUUCGUUUGUCGAAUGGCUCGUGGACUGGAAUGGUCGGCGCCGUACACAGAGGGGAAGCCGAUGCCGCCAUGUCUAUGAUGGCACUAACCUACGAACGGCACGCUGUGGUGCGCUUUGGUCC
rnacentral:lncRNA from 1 species